rnacentral:rRNA from 1 species
UACGGGGGGAGCAAACGUUGUUCGGAAUCACUGAGCGUAAAGGGCGCGUAGGCGGUCCUGUAAGUGGUGUGUGAAAUCCGAUGGCUCAACCAUCGAGCUGCGCCCCAUACUGCAGGACUUGAGUACAGCAGAGGAAAGUGGAAUUCCCGGUGUAGCGGUGAAAUGCGUAGAUAUCGAGAGGAACACCUGCGGCGAAGGCGGGUUGCUGGGCUGACACUGACGCUGAAGCGCGAAAGCUAGGGGAGCGAACGGG